CAGGGUUCAGCCUACAAGGGGAAAUUAGCAAGACCUUAGAACCCCAGACAAGUGGGGUUCAGGGGACUCCCUACUCACCCAGACUGGGCUGGGGAACGGCUGGAGCUGAAUCUAGAUGGGGCUCUCACUGCGGGGUCAGGUCUGACUUCACCGGCUUGUGUGCUUGGGUGAAGCUAAACAGGACAGUCGAAGACCUCCAGCUCCUGUGGUUGGUUCUGCCCGGGGAGAGCAGAGAUGGACACCUUUAGUCUCACUGUAUGAGUAAUAAGUGAUUCACCCAGGAAUCAUC